rnacentral:rRNA from 1 species
AUUGAACGCUGGCGGCAGGCCUAACACAUGCAAGUCGAACGAGUGGCGGACGGGUGAGUAAUGUCUGGGAAACUGCCUGAUGGAGGGGGAUAACUCCUGGAAACGGUAGCUAAUCCCGCAUACCAUCGGAUGUGCCCAGAUGGGAUUAGCUAGUAGGUGGGGGAAAGGCUCACCUAGGGCACGAUCCCUAGCUGGGCUGAGAGGAGUACCAGCCAAACUGGAACUGAGACACGGGCCAGACUACUAAGGGAGGCAGAAGUGGGGAAUAUUGCACAAUGGGCGCAAGCCUGAUGCAGCCAUGCCGCGGGUAUGAAGAAGGCCGUCGGGUUGUAAAGUACUUUCAGCGGGGGGGCGUUACCCGCAGAAGUAGCACCGGCUAACUCCGUGCCAGCAGCCGCGGUAAUAC